UUUCCGUAGGUGAACCUGCGGAAGGAUCAUUAAAGAGUAAGGGUCUUCGGGCCCGAUCUCCAACCCUUUGUUUAACUACCAUGUUGCUUUGGCGGGCCCGCCUCACGACCGCCGGAAGUUUGGCUUCGACCAAACUUCUGGCCCGUGCCCGUCAGUGGCCCCUUCAAAUUCUUGAUCAAGUAUGAUGUCUUAGUUAAAAACUUAAUAGUUAAAACUUUCAACAACGGAUCUCUUGGUUCUG
rnacentral:misc_RNA from 1 species